GUUGAACCGACUACUAGCAAGUCAAACGAGUAGACUUGUGUCACCUUGACUAUUAUCAUUUGGUCUACCACAUAUAAUUAAAGAUUUGUACCGGAUAAUUAGUAAGCCUACUAGAAGAAGCUACUACUUCAAAAAAUCGUCAUUAACUAACGGAGACUUGGUACGUGAGCAGUGAAAGACGCGAACAGUUCAAGAGAGGAAUUUGGUCCUCGAAUUAAUAUGUCUCUUGAAUGAUGUCAAAAACCAAAGUAACAUUUCAAGUGCAAAGGAUAUUGUAGCCAUAACAAUACGUAAAAGUACAUACUUUUGUUUUCAUACCACUUCAGUAAAACCUGCACACAGUAGUGAACAUCGUAGAGAAACAUUUUAGUGAAAAAUGUUUACUCAAGGUGAUUGUUUUUCGUAGUGGUGCUAGCGAGCCUGAUGCCUGGUCAAGACCUGUGGGCUGAAAGAUGUGCCAUACUAUAUAUGUGUAUGUUAUAUCUUUGUCACCAGUCCGACCUGGGGGUGGCGGCAAAGAGCGUACCUAGACAGAGUCACCCAUUCUUAUACUUCAACAAGCACGAUGUAAAGAGACUGCAGGAUGGUGCUUUAACUACACACGCACAUAUAUAUGCCGAUCUUAAAGAAGCUGUUGCCGAGAUCAUGAUUAGAAAGUAUGGGCAUAUCACUCCAAAAACGUAUCAAGAAUUCGGAUCCAAGUGGAAUGAAAUCUAUGGGAACAGUCUUCCACCGCUUGCCCUAUUCUCCGUAUUGAAUCCUGAAGACAAAGCAGUGUUUUACACCCUCCUGGAGAGUUUAGAUAACAUGGCAAAGCAACCAACUUGGGUGACAAUUCAAGCGCCCGAGGAUGAAGUCCCACUAGCUCAUUCCCUCGUUGGCUUUUCAACAGCCGUGGAUUUUAUAUUUCCGCGAUUAGAACCAAAAAGACAGGAUGCAUAUAUAAAGAAAAUUGUCAAUGAGACUCAGAAAAUGUACAAUCUUUCCAAACAGAGGUGGUGGGGAACAGUGCUGUUACAAAAUCAUGUCGCAACCAAUUUAGUUGCCCUCUUAACUGGAGCUCUAAUGACAAGAAAGUACACACCGACUGCAGAGAAAUGGAUAUCUGAUACAAUCCAACAAUUCGACAAAACAAUGACAUUCCUUGACCAAACGCACGAUGGGUCUUUAGAUGAAGGUGUGGCGUAUGGUAGUUACACGGCCAGAUCCAUAACACAAUAUUGCUUCCUACUUAAACGUCAUUUAGACAUCGAUCAUCACAACAACAAAUGGCUCCGCAGCCAUUUCUGGUUCUAUUAUUCUACCGUUUACCCUGGAUAUCAAAGAACAGUGGGCAUCGCGGAUUCCAACAUUAACUGGUUUUACGGGCCGGGAAGUCAACUAGUGUACCUCGACACAUUUGUAAUGAAGAAUGGGAAUGGAAAUUGGUUAGCGAACCAAAUUCGGAAUGCCAGAAAUAUGACAAGGAAACAGAGUCGUAGUCAGAAAGUAUGCACUAUUCAUACUGAAUAUAUCUGGUUUGAUCCGCACUUAAGUCCAGAACCUCCUUUGUUUCACAACACGCCUCAAAUGUACAUAUUUGAAGCAUGGGGGGUUAUUACCUACUCUACCGGUCUAGAUGACCCUCAACGGGAUACAUUCCUCUCAUUUAAAUCCGGUAAAAUACACGGAGAGACUGUGUAUGAUCACGUGCACAAAGCACCAGACGAAAACCCUAUCAAAGCGUCUAUACAUUUUAAUCCCGGUCACGAGCACCCAGACAAAAAUUCCUUUACUUAUUUUCACAAUGGAAAUCUUGUGAUAAGCGAAGGACUUUACGGUACCAAGUUAUCUUAUCUGGAUAACGUGCUAAUGUUUCAUCCAUCUGACGUUAGCCCGUGUACAGGUUCUUGGGGAGGCCAGUUAGGAGAUUGUGAGCGAUGGCUCCAGUGGAGAAAAAAAGUCGAACAAACUUAUAACAGAGGCGAUAUUAUUAGCUCUUCCGUUAAUAAAGAUAUGGUCCAUAUUGCAGGUGAAAGCGUAAAUGCAUAUCAUCCGAGUUUAAAACUCAGCAGCGUCUAUAGAAACUUGAUUCUAGUGAAACCCGAUCUCUUAUUUAUUAUGGACCACGUUGAAAAGCGAAAAGGCAGUAAAAUCACACAUACAAGCACAUUUUUUAACAAUUAUCUUAACAAGUUUAUUGGCGUGUGCAACCUCGGAAUUGAAUGUGACAGUGCUAUUAUUGAUACCGGUGGGGACACAUUUCGCAUUCAGUGGAUGGCUGAAACAAGUAAAGGGACAGAAUCUACAAUCAAAACAUUUCCAUCAAACACUGCGUCAAACCAUAAUCGAAUUCAUAAUCUUAAUGUUACGUUUGAACUCCCCGACGACAUUAACAGAAUGGCAUACAUCAUCCAUAGCUCGCAAGUGACGAUUAAUUCCAUGAAUAUAAUUGAAAGCACGGGAUCCUACAUCGUUUGGGAAAUUAACACCUCCUCUGGUGUGUAUAUCAUCUCCGUCAUAACAGAUUAUACAAAUGCUCAAAAAAGAAAUGGAAUGCCAAACAGUUUAGCAUCGGUUGAAUAUGACGGUGCAACGACAAUAUUUCAAAACCAAUACAAAUCAGCGGUAAGGCUAUUUUCGAAUGACACAGACAUUUCUAGGGACAGUAGUUCCUUUCCUUCGCCUAUAACGGAACACAUCGUAACAACUGAGACUCAAGAAGUCAAGUUUGAAAACGCUGAUGAUGUUGUUGUUGACGGCCCUGGGGAAAGAAAGCCAUUGUCAAAGUCAAAUCGCAAUAAUGGCGACAUUGGCGAGACGGGUAACCCCAAUCCGUCGACCAUUUUUGUAAUUAUAAUAGUCUCGUUGGGAGCCUCAGGAAUUUUGCUAGUGUAUAAAAUGCUUUUUGGUAGAUCUAGAGAUUCAAGAUCCGAUGUAUCCAAAUAUGUCAUUAUUGUGGCAUCGAUGACUAUUGUCUUCUACAUUUUAGAUAUAUAUUGAAAGACGGAUGUAUUUUAGUAUCAUUUUAAGGUGUCGUUCUUGUGUUACUAGCUAUUUCAUUUUACUCGAAAUGUGUUGAUUCAACGAUACGAUUUUAAAUUAUGCCCUAAUAUUAGUUUUAAUCUAAAAUGAACUUACUGUUUAAAUAAAGAUGGCGAGAUCAAUUGUAAUUUAAGAAUAUGGGUAAAAUCAAAAAUAAAAGUCAUAACGCAUACUCAUUUAUGAAGUUAUUAAUUUCUAGUUUAUGCACCACUACGAAAAAUCUAGUGAGAUCCUACAUUGCCCACUAAAAUAUUGGUACAUACCUAUAAAGUCGCCUGAACCCAUAAGCUUGGGGUAUAUUGCAGUGGUGUCAAUCUGUUUAUCAACUCUCUCUUGAGAGGAAAAAUUAAUCAAUGAACCACAUAACUUACAUC
rnacentral:misc_RNA from 1 species